rnacentral:rRNA from 1 species
UACGGAGGGGGCUAGCGUUGUUCGGAAUCAUUGGGCGUAAAGGCGCGUAGGCGGCCGAUCAAGUCGGAGGUGAAAUCCCUCGGCUCAACUGAGGAAUUGCCUUCGAUACUGUUCGGCUUGAGUCCUGGAGAGGGUAGCGGAAUUCCCGGUGUAGCGGUGAAAUGCGUAGAGACCGGGAAGAACACCAGUGGCGAAGGCGGCUACCUGGACAGGUACUGACGCUGAAGCGCGAAAGCUAGGGGAGCAA